GCAUUGGUGGCCCAUGGCUAUAACACUAGCCAUUCAGGAGGCUAAGAUCUGAGGAUCAUGGUUUAAAGCCAGCCUGGGCAGAAAAGUCCAUAAUUCUUAUUUCCAAUUAAUCACCAAAAAACUAGAAGUGGAGCUGUGGCUCAAGUGA